rfam:Parcubacteria bacterium GW2011_GWA2_44_13 TW28_C0009, whole genome shotgun sequence.
GGGGGUAUAGUUCAAUGGUAGAACGUUGGUCUCCAAAACCAAUGACCUGGGUUCGAUUCCUAGUACCCCCG